UGCGGAGGAAAAGAAACCAACUGGGAUUACCUUAGUAACGGCGAGUGAAGCGGUAAAAGCUCAAAUUUGAAAUCUGGUACUUUCAGUGCCCGAGUUGUAAUUUGUAGAAUUUGUCUUUGAUUAGGUCCUUGUCUAUGUUCCUUGGAACAGGACGUCAUAGAGGGUGAGAAUCCCGUUUGGCGAGGAUACCUUUUCUCUGUAAGACUUUUUCGAAGAGUCGAGUUGUUUGGGAAUGCAGCUCAAAGUGGGUGGUAAAUUCCAUCUAAAGCUAAAUAUUGGCGAGAGACCGAUAGCGAACAAGUACAGUGAUGGAAAGAUGAAAAGAACUUUGAAAAGAGAGUGAAAAAGUACGUGAAAUUGUUGAAAGGGAAGGGCAUUUGAUCAGACAUGGUGUUUUUUGCAUGCACUCGCCUCUCGUGGGCUUGGGCCUCUCAAAAAUUUCACUGGGCCAACAUCAAUUCUGGCAGCAGGAUAAAUCAUUAAGAAUGUAGCUACUUCGGUAGUGUUAUAGCUUUUUGGAAUACUGUUAGCCGGGAUUGAGGACUGCGCUUCGGCAAGGAUGUUGGCAUAAUGGUUAAAUGCCGCCCGUC
rnacentral:rRNA from 1 species